rnacentral:rRNA from 1 species
GGGGAAUAUUGGACAAUGGGCGCAAGCCUGAUCCAGCCAUGCCGCGUGUGUGAAGAAGGCCUUUUGGUUGUAAAGCACUUUAAGCGAGGAGGAGGCUCCUUUAGUUAAUACCUAAAGAGAGUGGACGUUACUCGCAGAAUAAGCACCGGCUAACUCUGUGCCAGCAGCCGCGGUAAUACAGAGGGUGCGAGCGUUAAUCGGAUUUACUGGGCGUAAAGCGUGCGUAGGCGGCUUUUUAAGUCGGAUGUGAAAUCCCUGAGCUUAACUUAGGAAUUGCAUUCGAUACUGGAGAGCUAGAGUAUGGGAGAGGAUGGUAGAAUUCCAGGUGUAGCGGUGAAAUGCGUAGAGAUCUGGAGGAAUACCGAUGGCGAAGGCAGCCAUCUGGCCUAAUACUGACGCUGAGGUACGAAAGCAUGGGGAGCAAACAGGAUUAGAUACCCUGGUAGUCCAUGCCGUAAACGAUGUCUACUAGCCGUUGGGGCCUUUGAGGCUUUAGUGGCGCAGCUAACGCGAUAAGUAGACCGCCUGGGGAGUACGGUCGCAAGACUA